CAGAUAGGAUCUUUGGUUGUGGCUGGUGGUCGCUCGGGAGAGGUG
rnacentral:tRNA from 1 species